AUAAGGGAAAGAGAUACAUAGAUGGCUUACAAUCGCCACUUCACACAAUUACAUGAAUAAAGCAUUACAUCAACCAGAUACAAUCAAGGUCCGACUACGGAACCCAAAAUAAAAGAAGACUACCCCAAAUGCUACACAGAUCCCCGAUCGACCCCAACUGGGCUCCACUACUGAUCAACUAGAACAAAACAACACAAAGGACAACAUCUUCAUCGAGCUCCUCCUUGAGCUUGGUUGCGUCACCUGCACGUCUCAACGGCACCUGCAAACUGGUUUUGGAAGUAUCUGUGAGUCACGGGGACUCAGCAAUCUCUCACCCUCGCGAUCAAGACUAUUUAAGCUUAUGGGUAAGGUAAAGGUAUGAGGUGGAGCUGCAGCAAGCGACUAGCAUAUAUGGUGGCUAAUAUACGCAAAUGAGAGUGAGAAGAGAAGGCAAAAGCACGAUCGAGAAACAAUGAUCAAGAAGUGAUCCUAGAACAACCUGCGUCAAGCAUAACUCCAACACCGUGUUCACUUCCCGGACUCCGUCGGAAAGAGACCAUCACGGUAACACACACGGUUGAUGUAUUUUAGUUAAGGUCAACUUUAGGUUUUCUACAACCGGACAUUAACAAAUUCCCAUCUGCCCAUAACCGCGGGCACGGCUUUCGAAAGAUCAUAUCCCUGCAGGGGUGUCCCAACUUAGCCCAUCACAAGCUCUCACGGUCAACGAAGGAUAUUCCUUCUAGCGGGAAGACCUGAUCAGGCUCGGAAUGCCGGUUACAAGACAUUUCGACAGGUAAAACAAGACCAGCAAGACCGCCCGAUGCGCCGACAUCCUGAUAGGAGCUGCACAUAUCUCGUUCUCACGGCAACACCGGAUGAGCACUCCAUACAACUAAAACUAGCCAUCAAGUUUCCCCGAGGUGGCGCUGCAAAGGACUCUAGUUCGGACCAACACUUAGACAAGCAGUUGCCCGGGGGGGUUAAAAUAAAGAUGACCCUCGGGAUGCGCGACUCCCAAGGGAAAAAGGCUAGGUGGCGAAUGGUAAAACCAAGGUUGGGCCUUGCUGGAGGAGUUUUAUUCAAGGCAAACUAUCAAGGGGUUCCCAUAAUAACCCAAUCGCGUAAGGAACGCAAAAUCCGGGAACAUAACACCGAUAUGACGGAAACUAGGGCGGCAAGAGUGGAACAAAACAACAGGAAUAAGGCCGAGCCUUCCACCCUUUACCAAGUAUAUAGAUGUAUUAAUUAAAUAAGAAAUAUUGUGAUAUCCCAACAAGUAAACAUGUUCCAACAGGGAACACCAUCUCCAUGUUCCAACAAGGAACAAACUUCAAUCUUCACCUACAACUAACAAUGCUAUAAGAGGGGCUGAGCAAAGCGGUAACAUAGUCAAACAAUGGUUUGCUAGGAUAAGGUGGGUUAGAGGCUUGACUAAACAAUAUGGGAGACAUGAUAAGCAAGUGGUAGGUAUCGCAGCAUAAGCAUAGCAAAAGAGCGAGCAUCUAGCAAGCACAGAUAGAAGUGAUUUCCAGGGUAUGGUCAUCUUGCCUGAAAUCCCGCAAGGAAGAAGAACAAGCCCAUGAAGAAGUUAAACG
rnacentral:lncRNA from 1 species